UGGCUCGAGGACGAACGCUGGCGGCGUGCCUAACACAUGCAAGUCGAACGGAAGUAAGGCUCCGGUUUACUUUAGUGGCGAACGGGUGAGUAACGCGUGAGGAACCUACCUUCAGUGGGGGACAACAGUUGGAAACGACUGCUAAUACCGCAUAAUGUAUUUGAGGGGCAUCCCUUGGAUACCAAAGCUUUAUGUGCUGAGAGAUGGCCUCGCGUCUGAUUAGCUAGUUGGCGGGGUAACGGCCCACCAAGGCGACGAUCAGUAGCCGGUCUGAGAGGAUGAACGGCCACAUUGGGACUGAGAUACGGCCCAGACUCCUACGGGAGGCAGCAGUGGGGAAUAUUGGGCAAUGGGGGAAACCCUGACCCAGCAACGCCGCGUGAAGGAAGAAGGCCUUCGGGUUGUAAACUUCUUUUACCAGGGACGAAGAACGUGACGGUACCUGGAGAAAAAGCCACGGCUAACUACGUG
rnacentral:rRNA from 1 species